GGGAGUGUAUCCCGAGGGCGAAGGCACCGGGCUGUAGACCCGUGAUAUUCAGAAACGUUGUAGGUUCGAAUCCUACCACUCCCA
rnacentral:tRNA from 1 species